CUUCGUUCUCAGGGCGGGGUGAAAAUCCCCACCGGCGGUAAUUGAGCGCAAGCUCAGGAGCCCGCGAGCGCCUGACGGUUCACGCCGUCAGGGUCAGCAGAUCCGGUGCGAUGCCGGAGCCGACGGUCAUAGUCCGGAUGAAAGAGAACGGGU
rnacentral:ncRNA from 2 species